CUCAUCCGUCGAUGAGUGGCAGUGAGGAGAAGACGUUGGUCUCUGCAGGGAGGUGAUGAUAUGGUGCUGAGAGCGAAUAAACAUUUUUCUGUACAGUUUGGGUGAUAGUAGUUACUAGCAACUGAAUAUGUAUUGCAGUUGUCUGUUCUUGGAGCAGCCGGUUUAAUGGGGUUUAGUUUUUUUUUAGGGGGGGGGUGGGGGGGGAUCCACCUGAGCAAAACCGGUUCGGGUUUUGCUGAGUUCUUAUGGAUAGUGGAAGGUUGUGCGUUUGGGCACAGUGGGAAGAAAGCUUUCUACUUCAAUCAGCUUUAGUAUAACUUUUGUUUCUUGGCUUGUUUUUUUUAUUGCUUUUGAGCCUUUAAGGUGUUUCUAUGUAAGUAAAAAUAUCCAUGUGAAAAUUAUGAUACAAUGUCAUUUAUGAUGGCAUUCUCUAUGGAUUGAAGGUCUUUUCUAAAGCUUCUGUUUACAAGUUUUCAAAUGUUGGCGUUAGGCAUGUUUCCUCUCAUAUUAUGGAUUAAAUUGUGUUCG
rnacentral:lncRNA from 1 species